AGUGAACGCUGGCGGUAGGCCUAACACAUGCAAGUCGAACGGCAGCACAGUAAGAGCUUGCUCUUACGGGUGGCGAGUGGCGGACGGGUGAGGAAUACAUCGGAAUCUACUUUUUCGUGGGGGAUAACGUAGGGAAACUUACGCUAAUACCGCAUACGACCUACGGGUGAAAGCAGGGGAUCUUCGGACCUUGCGCGAUUGAAUGAGCCGAUGUCGGAUUAGCUAGUUGGCGGGGUAAAGGCCCACCAAGGCGACGAUCCGUAGCUGGUCUGAGAGGAUGAUCAGCCACACUGGAACUGAGACACGGUCCAGACUCCUACGGGAGGCAGCAGUGGGGAAUAUUGGACAAGGGGCGCAAGCCUGAGCCAGCCAUACCGCGUGGGUGAAGAAGGCCUUCGGGUUGUAAAGCCCUUUUGUUGGGAAAAAAAAGCAGCAGGUUAAUACCCCGCUGUUCUGACGGUACCCAAAGAAUAAGCACCGGCUAACUUCGG
rnacentral:rRNA from 1 species